rnacentral:rRNA from 1 species
GACGAACGCUGGCGGCGUGCUUAACACAUGCAAGUCGAACGGAAAGGCCCUGCCUUCGUUGGGUGCUCGAGUGGCGAACGGGUGUGUAACACGUGAGCAACCUGCCCCUGGCUUUGGGAUAACUUCAGGGAACUGGGGCUAAUACCUGAGAGGUGCUGCUGCUGCAUGGUGGGGGUUGGAAAGUUUCGGCGGGUGGGGAUGGACUCGGGGGUUAGCAGCUUGUUGGUGGGGUAGUGGCUGACCAAGGCUUUGGCGGGUGGCCGGCAUGGGCGGUGGACCAGCCACAAUGGGCCUGAGAUACGGCCCAGACUCCAACGUGAGGCAACGGUGGGGAGUCUGGCACAAUGAUCGGGAGCCUGGUACGGCGGCGCCGCGUGCGUAAUGAGCGCCUGCAGGUUGUAAACCGCUUUCGGCUAUUACGAAGCGUUCGUGACGGUACCGGAUGAAUAAGCACCGGCUAACUACGUG